rnacentral:lncRNA from 1 species
AUCCAGACUGUACCAUAUUGCCUUUCAUUAAAAUUUAAAGUAAAUACUGGUGAUUUACAAUCUCAUAUAUAAAGCCUUUUUUUUUUCUCCCAGAGAACUGUAUAUACUCUUCUAUCAAAUUUCACACCAUGUGAAAAAUCAAGUCUUUCAGUACAUUGAAAGCUCACAGUGCCAAUGGGUACAGCCGUGCUGCAGUCAGACUGCCUUGGACCCCACUGCAACCUGAAAGGGGCACCAAGGACUGACAUUUCAGUCUAAGAGGUGACACCUGUGACAGCAUUUUGGAACCUGGUUGUUCUGAUGAAGUGACUGUGUUCACCAAUACUGGACACAACCUGGAGCACAUAGAAACAAACAGGUAUGUGUCACAUCAGUAACUUUCCUCAAGCUUUAAUUCCACUCAAACAAUUAUAACUUGUAUGUGAAAUUUAUCUGAGAGUUUUAUUUUGCUUCUCUUGUGAGUAGUUGGCAGGAUACUCUUGUUGACUGAAGACUUAAGUGAAAGAUAUAACAAUGGGAGAAAAAGAAAGCUUCUACAUCAGGAAGCAUUAAGGUUGGUGGUGAAGCAUACAAAAGCUCAAAAAGGAACAAGUGCAUUCACCAAAGGACAAGAUACUUUUUAUUAUCAAUUCCGUUUUCUUCCACCAGUCACUGAAGCAGUGAGGCUUUCACCAUUAAUCCCCAUGUUCUCAAGUGAGAGUUGACCAGCCCCUGUAACAGAGGCUUUUCUGACUGAGCUGUUCUCAUCAUCACCAGUGCAUGCCCUUGAUUCAUGACAGUGAUAUUAUGGUGCUGUCAGGAAAUAAGAAUGUGCAAGAAUAUUGACAGCUAGAAAUACCACAUUGUGGAGACCUGUGGGGUUGAAAACAUAUCAGUUUCCUUAAACUGCAAAGAAACUUCCUAGAUGCAGAUAUAUCAGUUUCAUUUACAGGCCUUUUUUGGNNNNNNNNNNACUAGAUUUGUAUAAGCCUUUUCUACUCCGAGUAUUCAAACAUACCCCAAAGAAAUACUUUUUGAUUGCUUUUAAUGUCAGCUUUCAAAGAGCCAUUGAAAAGAUGCUUUUCUUCAGCAAGAAGAAGAAGAGUUGGUGACUAAACUAAAAAGUGAAUUUUUGUCCCACUGAUCCAUUAAACAGUCAGUGAAUUAAAAUACUUGAAAGAAAUAAAAAAAAACCCAAACCUGUGUGAGAAAUAAAA